rnacentral:lncRNA from 1 species
UGACUUGACUUGACCUAGAAGGGGUGUCCUCCACUGUGACCACCAGGAAAGCGAUGAUGCCUUGCCGGGUAUGGGAUUCAGGAGCGGUAUCGGAGCUCAGAGGCCCGAAUUCUGUACUGGGAAUUCUGCCAUCACCACCAGUAAGAAAAUAAUUCCACUUUGGCUUAGAGGGGAGAAAGGUUUUGCUUUAGAGUCUUGGCCCCUGACUGUCGGUUAGUCAAGCAUAAACAGAUCAACAAAAACCAGAAAUGUUUAUAAUAUACAGUAGCAGCAGCUGCAAUAGGAUGGUUCAAUGCAGACUUUAAUUGAAAUAAUAUCAGUUUUCUUUCAAAUAUAUUGAAUGAAUCAAUUCCAGCCUCGUACCUGAGGUUGAAUAGAAAUGUAAUUACAUACAGUGACCAAUAGAGACCACCAGAGGCCCAGAAUAUAGAGAUGUGAGAUGAGAACUCAUCACACAUAGUUCAUGGUUGCAUGGGCCCAAGACCCUCAGUCCAUUGUGUGUGUGUGUGUGUGUGUGUCUGAUGGAGGUGUGUGUUUGUGUGUGUGUGUCUGAUGGAGACGUGUGUGUGUGUGUCUGAUGGAGGUGUGUGUUUGUGUGUGUGUGUCUGAUGGAGGUUUGUGUGUGUGUGUGUGUCUGAUGGAGGUGUGUGUUUGUGUGUGUGUGUCUGAUGGAGGUGUGUGUUUGUGUGUGUGCGUCUGAUGGAGGUGUGUGUUUGUGUGUGUGUGUGUGUGUCUGAUGGAGGUGUGUGUUUGUGUGUGUGUGUCUGAUGGAGGUUUGUGUGUGUGUGUGUCUGAUGGAGGUGUGUGUUUGUGUGUGUGUGUCUGAUGGAGGUUUGUGUGUGUGUGUGUGUCUGAUGGAGGUGUGUGUUUGUGUGUGUGUGUCUGAUGGAGGUGUGUGUUUGUGUGUGUGCGUCUGAUGGAGGUGUGUGUUUGUGUGUGUGUGUCUGAUGGAGGUGUGUGUUUGUGUGUGUGUGUCUGAUGGAGGUGUGUGUUUGUGUGUGUGUGUGUCUGAUGGAGACGUGUGUGUGUGUCUGAUGGAGGUGUGUGUUUGUGUGUGUGUGUGUCUGAUGGAGGUUUGUGUGUGUGUGUGUCUGAUGGAGGUGUGUGUUUGUGUGUGUGUGUCUGAUGGAGGUGUGUGUUUGUGUGUGUGUGUCUGAUGGAGGUGUGUGUUUGUGUGUGUGUGUCUGAUGGAGGUGUGUGUUUGUGUGUGUGUGUCUGAUGGAGGUGUGUGUUUGUGUGUCUGAUGGAGGUGUGUGUUUGUGUGUGUGUGUGUCUGAUGGAGGUGUGUGUGUGUGUGUGUGUGUGUGUGUGUGUGUGUGUGUGUGUGUGUGUGUGUGUGUGUGUGUGUGUGUGUGUGUGUCUGAUGGAGGUGUGUGUUUGUAUGUGUGUGUCUGAUGGAGGUGUGUGUUUGUGUGUGUGUGUCUGAUGGAGGUGUGUGUUUGUGUGUGUGUGUCUGAUGGAGGUGUGUGUUUGUGUGUGUGUGUCUGAUGGAGGUGUGUGUUUGUGUGUGUGUGUGUGUGUCUGACAGAGGUUUGUGUGUGCAUGUGUUCAGUGGUGUCUGAGUAAAGCAUUCUGGGCAUAGAUGAAGAGAGCCUAAGGAGUGGGUAGUGUGGGGAAGGGGGAGCUACAGGAGAUCAUUGUUAGCGAAGGAGGAGUUGGCACUGAGAGAGAGAGAACUAUUUUUGACACUACUUGUUAACACAUAUUGCCCCUAACCACAACAUUUUAUCUUAUAGAAUUAUCGUAGUUUAGUGUGAACGCUGUAUGUGUAACCUUUCAGUUGUGUGUGUCAGAGGGAGGGAGAGUAAAGGAGAGAGAAUGUGUGUGACUAGUCUGGUAAGCAUGAGUUGGCCGGUAUAAUUGUAUUCUCUCCUCCCUGGCAUAGGCAACGUUCUGCGUUUCAUAUGAGGAGCCUGAGCGUUUAGACCAAGCUGGCACAAGAUGCCUGACACACACACACACACACACACACACACACACACACACACACACACACACACACACACACACAUACACACAAACAGCAACAAUGGUGUGCUUUAUAAGGUGCCCACCGAUGUCAUGGCAACCCCCAUAUCCUCAGAAAGAGGGAAGAUGUUGUGUGCCAAAUAAAUGCCAUGGUUACUUUUUUUAAGAAACCAAGUUGCCCAGAAACCCUUUGAAGCUUAUUAAGUGAAACCAGUGGGGAGAGAAAAAUGGAGAGAAUGAGAAAGAGAAGGAAAAGGAGAGGGGGGAAGGAAAGAGAGGGUUCAGAGAAGGAGAAGGGAGAAAGAGAAGCAGAGAAAGAAAUGGGGAAAGAGUGACGGGGUGAGGAGGGAGAAGGGGAGAAAGAAAGUGUGAGGUGGAGAUUGAAAGAAGGAGAAAGGCAGAGAGAGAAGGAGGAAAAGUGGGAGUGUAUCCGGUUUCUGGGCCAAAGUGUGUCUUUGUUUUAAGGAAAGGACACUGUG